UACGUAGGGUGCAAGCGUUGUCCGGAAUUAUUGGGCGUAAAGGGCUCGUAGGCGGUUUGUCGCGUCGGGAGUGAAAACACCGGGCUUAACUCGGUGCUUGCUUUCGAUACGGGCAGACUAGAGGCAUGCAGGGGAGAACGGAAUUCCUGGUGUAGCGGUGAAAUGCGCAGAUAUCAGGAGGAACACCGGUGGCGAAGGCGGUUCUCUGGGCAUUACCUGACGCUGAGGAGCGAAAGUGUGGGGAGCGAACAGG
rnacentral:rRNA from 1 species